rnacentral:rRNA from 1 species
GGGUUGUGAGGUUAAGCGACUAAGCGUACACGGUGGAUGCCCUGGCAGUCAGAGGCGAUGAAGGACGUGCUAAUCUGCGAAAAGCGUCGGUAAGGUGAUAUGAACCGUUAUAACCGGCGAUGUCCGAAUGGGGAAACCCAGUGCAAUUCGUUGCACUAUCGUUAACUGAAUACAUAGGUUAACGAGGCGAACCGGGGGAACUGAAACAUCUAAGUACCCCGAGGAAAAGAAAUCAACCGAGAUUCCCCCAGUAGCGGCGAGCGAACGGGGAGCAGCCCAGAGUCUGAAUCAGCUUGUGUGUUAGUGGAACGGUCUGGAAAGUCCGACGGUACAGGGUGAUAGUCCCGUACACCAAAAUGCACAGGUUGUGAACUCGAAGAGUAGGGCGGGACACGUGGUAUCCUGUCUGAAUAUGGGGGACCAUCCUCCAAGGCUAAAUACUCCUGACUGACCGAUAGUGAACCAGUACCGUGAGGGAAAGGCGAAAAGAACCCCGGCGAGGGGAGUGAAAAAGAACCUGAAACCGUGUACGUACAAGCAGUGGGAGCACCUUCGGGUGUGACUGCGUACCUUUUGUAUAAUGGGUCAGCGACUUAUAUUCUGUAGCAAGGUUAACCGUAUAGGGGAGCCGCAGGGAAACCGAGUCUUAACUGGGCGUUAAGUUGCAGGGUAUAGACCCGAAACCCGGUGAUCUAGCCAUGGGCAGGUUGAAGGUUGGGUAACACUAACUGGAGGACCGAACCGACUAAUGUUGAAAAAUUAGCGGAUGACUUGUGGCUGGGGGUGAAAGGCCAAUCAAACCGGGAGAUAGCUGGUUCUCCCCGAAAGCUAUUUAGGUAGCGCCUCGUGAACUCAUCUUCGGGGGUAGAGCACUGUUUCGGCUAGGGGUCAUCCCGACUUACCAACCCGAUGCAAACUACGAAUACCGAAGAAUGUUAUCACGGGAGACACACGGCGGGUGCUAACGUCCGUCGUGAAGAGGGAAACAACCCAGACCGCCAGCUAAGGUCCCAAAGUCAUGGUUAAGUGGGAAACGAUGUGGGAAGGCACAGACAGCCAGGAUGUUGGCUUAGAAGCAGCCAUCAUUUAAAGAAAGCGUAAUAGCUCACUGGUCGAGUCGGCCUGCGCGGAAGAUGUAACGGGGCUAAACCAUGCACCGAAGCUGCGGCAGCGACACUAUGUGUUGUUGGGUAGGGGAGCGUUCUGUAAGCCUGCGAAGGUGACCUGUGAGGGUUGCUGGAGGUAUCAGAAGUGCGAAUGCUGACAUAAGUAACGAUAAAGCGGGUGAAAAGCCCGCUCGCCGGAAGACCAAGGGUUCCUGUCCAACGUUAAUCGGGGCAGGGUGAGUCGACCCCUAAGGCGAGGCCGAAAGGCGUAGUCGAUGGGAAACAGGUUAAUAUUCCUGUACUUGGUGUUACUGCGAAGGGGGACGGAGAAGGCUAUGUUAGCCGGGCGACGGUUGUCCCGGUUUAAGCAUGUAGGCUGGUUGUCCAGGCAAAUCCGGAUAAUCAAGGCUGAGGUGUGAUGACGAGGCACUACGGUGCUGAAGUAACAAAUGCCCUGCUUCCAGGAAAAGCCUCUAAGCAUCAGGUAACAUCAAAUCGUACCCCAAACCGACACAGGUGGUCAGGUAGAGAAUACCAAGGCGCUUGAGAGAACUCGGGUGAAGGAACUAGGCAAAAUGGUGCCGUAACUUCGGGAGAAGGCACGCUGGUGUGUAGGUGAAGUCCCUGCGGAUGGAGCUGAGACCAGUCGAAGAUACCAGCUGGCUGCAACUGUUUAUUAAAAACACAGCACUGUGCAAACACGAAAGUGGACGUAUACGGUGUGACGCCUGCCCGGUGCCGGAAGGUUAAUUGAUGGGGUUAUCCGUAAGGAGAAGCUCUUGAUCGAAGCCCCGGUAAACGGCGGCCGUAACUAUAACGGUCCUAAGGUAGCGAAAUUCCUUGUCGGGUAAGUUCCGACCUGCACGAAUGGCGUAAUGAUGGCCAGGCUGUCUCCACCCGAGACUCAGUGAAAUUGAACUCGCUGUGAAGAUGCAGUGUACCCGCGGCAAGACGGAAAGACCCCGUGAACCUUUACUAUAGCUUGACACUGAACAUUGAGCCUUGAUGUGUAGGAUAGGUGGGAGGCUUUGAAGCGUGGACGCCAGUCUGCGUGGAGCCAACCUUGAAAUACCACCCUUUAAUGUUUGAUGUUCUAACGUUGGCCCCUUACCGGGGUUGCGGACAGUGUCUGGUGGGUAGUUUGACUGGGGCGGUCUCCUCCCAAAGCGUAACGGAGGAGCACGAAGGUUAGCUAAUCCUGGUCGGACAUCAGGAGGUUAGUGCAAUGGCAUAAGCUAGCUUGACUGCGAGCGUGACGGCGCGAGCAGGUGCGAAAGCAGGUCAUAGUGAUCCGGUGGUUCUGAAUGGAAGGGCCAUCGCUCAACGGAUAAAAGGUACUCCGGGGAUAACAGGCUGAUACCGCCCAAGAGUUCAUAUCGACGGCGGUGUUUGGCACCUCGAUGUCGGCUCAUCACAUCCUGGGGCUGAAGUAGGUCCCAAGGGUAUGGCUGUUCGCCAUUUAAAGUGGUACGCGAGCUGGGUUUAGAACGUCGUGAGACAGUUCGGUCCCUAUCUGCCGUGGGCGCUGGAGAAUUGAGGGGGGCUGCUCCUAGUACGAGAGGACCGGAGUGGACGCAUCACUGGUGUUCGGGUUGUCAUGCCAAUGGCACUGCCCGGUAGCUAAAUGCGGAAGAGAUAAGUGCUGAAAGCAUCUAAGCACGAAACUUGCCCCGAGAUGAGUUCUCCCUGAGACUUUAAGUCUCCUGAAGGAACGUUGAAGACGACGACGUUGAUAGGCCGGGUGUGUAAGCGCAGCGAUGCGUUGAGCUAACCGGUACUAAUGAACCGUGAGGCUUAACCUUACAACGCCGAAG